UCCGGUUGAUCCUGCCAGAGGCCGCUGCUAUCCGGCUGGGACUAAGCCAUGCUAGUCUAGGGGCUUGUACUCCUUCGGGGGUGCAAGCACCGGCGGACGGCUCAGUAACACGUGGACAACCUGCCCUCGGGUGGGGGAUAACCCCGGGAAACUGGGGCUAAUCCCCCAUAGGUGAUGGGUGCUGGAAUGCCCCAUCUCCGAAAGCGCUUAGCGCCCGAGGAUGGGUCUGCGGCGGAUUAGGUAGUUGGUGGGGUAACGGCCCACCAAGCCUAAGAUCCGUACGGGCUGUGGGAGCAGGAGCCCGGAGAUGGACCCUGAGACAAGGGUCCAGGCCCUACGGGGCGCAGCAGGCGCGAAACCUCCGCAAUGCGGGAAACCGCGACGGGGUUAGCCGGAGUGCCCGUGCAUUGCACGGGCUGUCGGGGUGCCUAAACAGCACCCCAUAGCAAGGGCCGGGCAAGGCCGGUGGCAGCCGCCGCGGUAAGACCGGCGGCCCGAGUGGCGGCCACUCUUAUUGGGCCUAAAGCGUCCGUAGCCGGCCCAGUAAGUCCCCCGGGAAAUCUGGUCGCUUAACGAUCAGACUUCCGGGGGAUACUGCUGGGCUAGGGACCGGGAGAGGCCGAGG
rnacentral:rRNA from 1 species